UUAAGCGACUAAGCGUACACGGUGGAUGCCCUGGCAGUCAGAGGCGAUGAAGGACGUGCUAAUCUGCGAUAAGCGUCGGUAAGGUGAUAUGAACCGUUAUAACCGGCGAUUUCCGAAUGGGGAAACCCAGUGUGUUUCGACACACUAUCAUUAACUGAAUCCAUAGGUUAAUGAGGCGAACCGGGGGAACUGAAACAUCUAAGUACCCCGAGGAAAAGAAAUCAACCGAGAUUCCCCCAGUAGCGGCGAGCGAACGGGGAGCAGCCCAGAGUCUGAAUCAGUGUGUGUGUUAGUGGAAGCGUCUGGAAAGGCGCGCGAUACAGGGUGACAGCCCCGUACACAAAAAUGCACAUACUGUGAGCUCGAUGAGUAGGGCGGGACACGUGGUAUCCUGUCUGAAUAUGGGGGGACCAUCCUCCAAGGCUAAAUACUCCUGACUGACCGAUAGUGAACCAGUACCGUGAGGGAAAGGCGAAAAGAACCCCGGCGAGGGGAGUGAAAAAGAACCUGAAACCGUGUACGUACAAGCAGUGGGAGCACGCUUAGGCGUGUGACUGCGUACCUUUUGUAUAAUGGGUCAGCGACUUAUAUUCUGUAGCAAGGUUAACCGAAUAGGGGAGCCGAAGGGAAACCGAGUCUUAACUGGGCGUUAAGUUGCAGGGUAUAGACCCGAAACCCGGUGAUCUAGCCAUGGGCAGGUUGAAGGUUGGGUAACACUAACUGGAGGACCGAACCGACUAAUGUUGAAAAAUUAGCGGAUGACUUGUGGCUGGGGGUGAAAGGCCAAUCAAACCGGGAGAUAGCUGGUUCUCCCCGAAAGCUAUUUAGGUAGCGCCUCGUGAACUCAUCUCCGGGGGUAGAGCACUGUUUCGGCAAGGGGGUCAUCCCGACUUACCAACCCGAUGCAAACUGCGAAUACCGGAGAAUGUUAUCACGGGAGACACACGGCGGGUGCUAACGUCCGUCGUGAAGAGGGAAACAACCCAGACCGCCAGCUAAGGUCCCAAAGUCAUGGUUAAGUGGGAAACGAUGUGGGAAGGCCCAGACAGCCAGGAUGUUGGCUUAGAAGCAGCCAUCAUUUAAAGAAAGCGUAAUAGCUCACUGGUCGAGUCGGCCUGCGCGGAAGAUGUAACGGGGCUAAACCAUGCACCGAAGCUGCGGCAGCGACGCUUAUGCGUUGUUGGGUAGGGGAGCGUUCUGUAAGCCUGUGAAGGUGUGCUGUGAGGCAUGCUGGAGGUAUCAGAAGUGCGAAUGCUGACAUAAGUAACGAUAAAGCGGGUGAAAAGCCCGCUCGCCGGAAGACCAAGGGUUCCUGUCCAACGUUAAUCGGGGCAGGGUGAGUCGACCCCUAAGGCGAGGCCGAAAGGCGUAGUCGAUGGGAAACAGGUUAAUAUUCCUGUACUUGGUGUUACUGCGAAGGGGGGACGGAGAAGGCUAUGUUGGCCGGGCGACGGUUGUCCCGGUUUAAGCGUGUAGGCUGGUUUUCCAGGCAAAUCCGGAAAAUCAAGGCUGAGGCGUGAUGACGAGGCACUACGGUGCUGAAGCAACAAAUGCCCUGCUUCCAGGAAAAGCCUCUAAGCAUCAGGUAACAUCAAAUCGUACCCCAAACCGACACAGGUGGUCAGGUAGAGAAUACCAAGGCGCUUGAGAGAACUCGGGUGAAGGAACUAGGCAAAAUGGUGCCGUAACUUCGGGAGAAGGCACGCUGAUAUGUAGGUGAAGCGACUUGCUCGUGGAGCUGAAAUCAGUCGAAGAUACCAGCUGGCUGCAACUGUUUAUUAAAAACACAGCACUGUGCAAACACGAAAGUGGACGUAUACGGUGUGACGCCUGCCCGGUGCCGGAAGGUUAAUUGAUGGGGUCAGCGCAAGCGAAGCUCUUGAUCGAAGCCCCGGUAAACGGCGGCCGUAACUAUAACGGUCCUAAGGUAGCGAAAUUCCUUGUCGGGUAAGUUCCGACCUGCACGAAUGGCGUAAUGAUGGCCAGGCUGUCUCCACCCGAGACUCAGUGAAAUUGAACUCGCUGUGAAGAUGCAGUGUACCCGCGGCAAGACGGAAAGACCCCGUGAACCUUUACUAUAGCUUGACACUGAACAUUGAGCCUUGAUGUGUAGGAUAGGUGGGAGGCUUUGAAGUGUGGACGCCAGUCUGCAUGGAGCCGACCUUGAAAUACCACCCUUUAAUGUUUGAUGUUCUAACGUUGACCCGUAAUCCGGGUUGCGGACAGUGUCUGGUGGGUAGUUUGACUGGGGCGGUCUCCUCCUAAAGAGUAACGGAGGAGCACGAAGGUUGGCUAAUCCUGGUCGGACAUCAGGAGGUUAGUGCAAUGGCAUAAGCCAGCUUGACUGCGAGCGUGACGGCGCGAGCAGGUGCGAAAGCAGGUCAUAGUGAUCCGGUGGUUCUGAAUGGAAGGGCCAUCGCUCAACGGAUAAAAGGUACUCCGGGGAUAACAGGCUGAUACCGCCCAAGAGUUCAUAUCGACGGCGGUGUUUGGCACCUCGAUGUCGGCUCAUCACAUCCUGGGGCUGAAGUAGGUCCCAAGGGUAUGGCUGUUCGCCAUUUAAAGUGGUACGCGAGCUGGGUUUAGAACGUCGUGAGACAGUUCGGUCCCUAUCUGCCGUGGGCGCUGGAGAACUGAGGGGGGCUGCUCCUAGUACGAGAGGACCGGAGUGGACGCAUCACUGGUGUUCGGGUUGUCAUGCCAAUGGCACUGCCCGGUAGCUAAAUGCGGAAGAGAUAAGUGCUGAAAGCAUCUAAGCACGAAACUUGCCCCGAGAUGAGUUCUCCCUGACCCUUUAAGGGUCCUGAAGGAACGUUGAAGACGACGACGUUGAUAGGCCGGGUGUGUAAGCGCAGCGAUGCGUUGAGCUAACCGGUACUAAUGAACCGUGAGGCUUAACCUU
rnacentral:rRNA from 1 species